rnacentral:rRNA from 1 species
AUUGAACGCUGGCGGCAGGCCUAACACAUGCAAGUCGAGCGGAUGAAGGGAGCUUGCUCCUGGAUUCAGCGGCGGACGGGUGAGUAAUGCCUAGGAAUCUGCCUGGUAGUGGGGGAUAACGUCCGGAAACGGGCGCUAAUACCGCAUACGUCCUGAGGGAGAAAGUGGGGGAUCUUCGGACCUCACGCUAUCAGAUGAGCCUAGGUCGGAUUAACUAGUUGGUGGGGUAAAGGCCUACCAAGGCGACGAUCCGUAACUGGUCUGAGAGGAUGAUCAGUCACACUGGAACUGAGACACGGUCCAGACUCCUACGGGAGGCAGCAGUGGGGAAUAUUGGACAAUGGGCGAAAGCCUGAUCCAGCCAUGCCGCGUGUGUGAAGAAGGUCCUCGGAUUGUAAAGCACUUUAAGUUGGGAGGAAGGGCAGUAAGUUAAUACCUUGCUGUUUUGACGUUACCAACAGAAUAAGCACCGGCUAACUUCGUG